ACAGCAGCCGCCGCGGUAAUACGAAGGGUGCAAGCGUUAAUCGGAAUUACUGGGCGUAAAGCGUGCGUAGGCGGUUUGUUAAGUCUGCUGUGAAAUCCCCGGGCUCAACCUGGGAAUGGCAGUGGAUACUGGCAAGCUAGAGUGUGUCAGAGGAUGGUGGAAUUCCCGGUGUAGCGGUGAAAUGCGUAGAGAUCGGGAGGAACAUCAGUGGCGAAGGCGGCCAUCUGGGACAACACUGACGCUGAGGCACGAAAGCGUGGGGAGCAAACAGGAUUAGAUACCCCCGUAGUCCCUGUCUCUUAUAC
rnacentral:rRNA from 1 species